rnacentral:rRNA from 1 species
UCUUGGGUCGUAAACCUCUUUUCUCAGGGAAGAACAAAAUGACGGUACCUGAGGAAUAAGCAUCGGCUAACUCCGUGCCAGCAGCCGCGGUAAUACGGAGGAUGCAAGCGUUAUCCGGAAUGAUUGGGCGUAAAGCGUCCGUAGGUGGUUAGGCAAGUCUGCUGUCAAAGCUCGGGGCUUAACUCCGAAUCGGCGGUGGAAACUGCCUGACUUGAGUGCGGUAGGGGUAGAGGGAAUUCCCGGUGUAGCGGUGAAAUGCGUAGAUAUCGGGAAGAACACCGGCGGCGAAGGCGCUCUACUGGGCCGUAACUGACACUGAGGGACGAAAGCUAGGGGAGCG